rnacentral:rRNA from 1 species
GCUCGUGGAUCGAUGAAGACCGCAGCUGAAUGCGCGUCAGAAUGUGAACUGCAGGACACAUGAACACCGACAAGUUGAACGCAUAUUGCACAUCGUACAACAGUACGAUGUACACAUUUUUGAGUGCCUGUAUUUAUCCAUUCAACUAUGCAGGCUUCCCCCCUAAGGAGACCAGCAUGCGCAGUGACGUUUUCCCGCCUUCGGUGGCGGUAAAACGUUCAAGUCCGUCAGACGCUCAUGACGAGCACAUACCACACUCCGCCCCGCCGCGGACCAGUUGUGCUACCGUCACCGUGCCGCACCGUGACCACACUUUCAUCUAGUAGGCCUCAAAUAAUGUGUGACUACCCCUAAAUUUAAGC